ACCCGCACAAGCAGCGGAGCAUGUGGUUUAAUUCGAAGCAACGCGAAGAACCUUACCAAGGCUUGACAUCCCCUUGAAAGGUGCAGAGAUGCAUCCCUUUUCGGAGCAGGGGAGACAGGUGGUGCAUGGUUGUCGUCAGCUCGUGUCGUGAGAUGUUGGGUUAAGUCCCGCAACGAGCGCAACCCCUAUUAUUAGUUGCCAGCACUACGGGUGGGCACUCUAAUGAGACUGCCGGUGACAAACCGGAGGAAGGUGGGGAUGACGUCAAAUCAUCAUGCCCCUUAUGUCCAGGGCUACACACACGCUACAAUGGUCUGUACAAUUGGUUGCCAAGCCGCGAGGCGGAGCCAAUCCGUAAAGCAGGCCUCAGUUCAGAUUGCAGUCUGCAACUCGACUGCAUGAAGCCGGAGUUGCUAGUAACCGCAGGUCAGCAAUACUGCGGUGAAUACGUUCCCGGGUCUU
rnacentral:rRNA from 1 species